rnacentral:lncRNA from 1 species
CUAGUUGUACCAAUAACUAACCCCAAGGAAUUGGACUCAGAAGAGCAAUACAAAUUGCAGCCUUGCCACUUACGAGCUGAGAGAUCUUAGCCAAAAUAACUCAAUCUGUCUGAGUUGUAUUUUUUAUCAGUCGACUGAAGAUGAAUAAUAUUCAGGCUACAAGUUUAUCAAAGAGUUAAUAGGAAUUUUCUGGAUUUGGAAAGAGGCGUCAGUUUCAACCUGACCUUUCAAUACAGCUUCUGCAGCUUGAACGCACAUGCACCACUUGGGCUGAUGUCUUCCAAGAAGGUGUGGACUCUGAGCAAUAGUCUGGCUAUGGGAAGAGAUGGAGUCCAUGUUGCCUCGCCUGGUCUUGGACUAUUGGCCUCAAGCGAUCAUCCUACCUCAGCCUCUCAAAGUGCUAGCAUUCAAGCUCACAAACAAGAGUUUUGAACCUAGGCAGGCUAAGCAGUGAUCUUGAGGACUGAAAGGGGAAACUGCUGUCAAUUAAUAGGACAUCAAACACCCAUACUCUACUGGAAAAAUGUGUCCACAGACAUUUGCUUGAGAGGAGGAGGUGGCUGGUGAAGAGCCCUAUGGUUGCUCUCCUGUGUCUUCACUCUUAGCAGCUACAACAUGCACAAGAUUCAGUGCAUUCAAUAAUUAGUUCUCAGCAUCCUGUGAACUGGCGAUCUAUUUCCAGAAUGAUUUAGUGCAGUUUCCUCUAAGUCCAUGCUAAAAGAGGAAAUAAUUAGGCUCAGAAGCAUUUAACUUAAAACUGGUGUUUCUACUUAUCUACAAUGACUGUGCUAAUUAGGCCUCUCAUAAAUUUCUCUGACAUACUUCACUCUACAACCUCGAGCCUUUACCUCAUGUGUUCCCCUGGGAUCUAGAAUGGUGCUGGAAAACCACUGAGAUGGGAGCCUCUUAGUCUGGACUCCCUGGAGGAAGAGUAAUUCACUUAAGGUUACGACACUCUUAUAUAAACAUAUUCAAACAUGAUUUUUUUUUUUUUGCCCUAACUGCAUAUUCAAGUCAAUCUGCUAGGGGUAAAAAAAUGUUGGCCUAGGCCGGGCGCGGUGGCUCACGCCUG